rnacentral:rRNA from 1 species
AUGAGAGUGCCCAGUGGGCCACUUUUGGUAAGCAGAACUGGCGCUGUGGGAUGAACCAAACGCCGGGUUAAGGCGCCCGAUGCGAGACGCUCAUGAGACCCCAUGAAAGGUGUUGGUUGCUCUAGACAGCAGGGCGGUGUCCACGGAGGUCGGAAUCCGCUAAGGAGUGUGUAACAACUCACCUGCCGAAGCAACUAGCCCUAAAAAUGGAUGGCGCUCCAGCGUCGAGCCCAUACCCGGCCGCUUCUUUAAAUAUUAUCUGUUUGAUAUUUAAAAAAAAAUGAGUAUGAGGGUCGCACCGGUGAGCGUUGAAAGUGCCGGGGGUGAGCCCCCCUGGGGCCACCGCUGGGGCAGAUCUUGGGGGGAGUAGCAAAUACUCAAGUGAGAUCCUUGAGGACUGAAAUUGGAGAAAGGUUCCAUGUGAACAGCAGUUGAACAUGGGUCACUCGGUCCUAAAGGAUUGGGGAAAACCGUUCCAAAACGGGACAUUUAUUAAAAGUUUGUCCCGCUAUCGACCGAAAGGGAAUGGGGUUAAUAUUCCCCAACCCGGACACGGAGAUAGAAGAUUCAUUUCUUCAAGUGCGGUAACGCAAACGAACUCGGAGACGUCGACGGAAGACCCGGGGAAGAGUUGUCUUUUCUUUGUAAGAGUUCGUGUCCCUGGAAUCGGCUCGUCCGGAGAUAGGGACGCUGUUCUCGUAAAAGCUCCGCGGCUCUUGCGGAGUCCGGUGCGCUUCUGUCGGCCCUUGCAAAUCCGAGGGAGAGAGUGUGAUUUUCGUGCCGGUCCGUACCCAUAU